UAGGCGAGCUGAGGUCAAUUACAUUAGGUCCCGUUGAACACCUCUUCACAGCCUUACCAGAAGAUUCUUGUUUUGGUAGUGAAUCUUGAAGAAUUAUUCCUGCUUCCUGUGGUGCAGAGUUUCGUGCUUCUUCUAGCAAUGUAUUAAGACCAUUGGAAUAUUUUCGAGCGAGUUAUCUGCUGGAACUAUGGUGUUAUCUAG